AUUGAACGCUGGCGGCAUGCCUUACACAUGCAAGUCGAACGGCAGCACGGGGCAACCUGGUGGCGAGUGGCGAACGGGUGAGUAAUGCAUCGGAACGUACCCGGAAGUGGGGGAUAACUCUCCGAAAGGAGUGCUAAUACCGCAUAUUCUGUGAGCAGGAAAGCAGGGGACCGCAAGGCCUUGUGCUUCCGGAGCGGCCGAUGUCAGAUUAGCUAGGUGGUGGGGUAACGGCCUACCAAGGCGACGAUCUGUAGCGGGUCUGAGAGGAUGAUCCGCCACACUGGGACUGAGACACGGCCCAGACUCCUACGGGAGGCAGCAGUGGGGAAUUUUGGACAAUGGGGGCAACCCUGAUCCAGCCAUGCCGCGUGAGUGAAGAAGGCCUUCGGGUUGUAAAGCUCUUUCGGCCGGGAAGAAAUCGCAUGGGCUAAUACCCUGUGUGGAUGACGGUACCGGAAUAAGAAGCACCGGCUAACUACGUGCCAGCUGCCGCCGUAACAC
rnacentral:rRNA from 1 species